UACGUAGGGUGCAAGCGUUGUCCGGAAUUAUUGGGCGUAAAGAGCUCGUAGGCGGUCUGUCGCGUCUGCUGUGAAAAUCCAGGGCUUAACCCUGGACCUGCAGUGGGUACGGGCAGACUAGAGUGCGGUAGGGGAGAUCGGAAUUCCUGGUGUAGCGGUGAAAUGCGCAGAUAUCAGGAGGAACACCGGUGGCGAAGGCGGAUCUCUGGGCCGUAACUGACGCUGAGACGCGAAAGCGUGGGGAGCAAACAGG
rnacentral:rRNA from 1 species